GGCGAACGCUGGCGGCGUGCCUAAUACAUGCAAGUCGAGCGAAUGGAUUGAGAGCUUGCUCUUAUGAAGUUAGCGGCGGACGGGUGAGUAACACGUGGGUAACCUGCCAUAAGACUGGGAUAACUCCGGGAAACCGGGGCUAAUACCGGAUAACAUUUUGAACCGCAUGGUUCGAAAUUGAAAGGCGGCUUCGGCUGUCACUUAUGGAUGGACCCGCGUCGCAUUAGCUAGUUGGUGAGGUAACGGCUCACCAAGGCAACGAUGCGUAGCCGACCUGAGAGGGUGAUCGGCCACACUGGGACUGAGACACGGCCCAGACUCCUACGGGAGGCAGCAGUAGGGAAUCUUCCGCAAUGGACGAAAGUCUGACGGAGCAACGCCGCGUGAGUGAUGAAGGCUUUCGGGUCGUAAAACUCUGUUGUUAGGGAAGAACAAGUGCUAGUUGAAUAAGCUGACACCUUGACGGUACCUAACCAGAAAGCCACGGCUAACUACGUGCCAGCCGCCGCCGUAA
rnacentral:rRNA from 1 species